UACGAAGGGGGCUAGCGUUGUUCGGAAUUACUGGGCGUAAAGGGCGCGUAGGCGGCUGUGCAAGUCAGGUGUGAAAGCCCUGGGCUCAACCCAGGAUGUGCACUUGAUACUGCGCGGCUAGAGUGUCGGAGAGGAUGGUGGAAUUCCCAGUGUAGAGGUGAAAUUCGUAGAUAUUCGGAAGAACACCAGUGGCGAAGGCGACUUACUGGACACAUAUUGACGCUGAGGUGCGAAAGCGUGGGGAGCAAACAGG
rnacentral:rRNA from 1 species